AUUGAACGCUGGCGGCAGGCCUAACACAUGCAAGUCGAACGAGUGGCGGACGGGUGUGUUAUGUCUGGGAAUCUGCCUGAUGGAGGGGGAUAACUACUGGACACGGUAUCUAAUCGCGCAUCCUCUCGGGUGCGCCCAGAUGGGUUUAGCUAGUAGGGGGGGUAACGGCUCACCUAGGCCACGACCCCUAGCUGGUCUGAGAGGAUGACCAGCCACACUGGAACUGAGACACGGUCCAGACUCCUACGGGAGGCAGCAGUGGGGAAUAUUGCACAAUGGGCGCAAGCCUGAUGCAGCCAUGCCGCGUGUAUGAAGAAGGCCUUCGGGUUGUAAAGUACUUUCAGCGGGGAGGCGUUACCCGCAGAAGAAGCACCGGCUAACUCCGUGCCAGCAGCCGCGGUAAUUC
rnacentral:rRNA from 1 species